rnacentral:lncRNA from 1 species
UCCACCCAAUCAUAAUCAAAAUUCAUAGCCGUCACACAGCCAACUAGACACGACACGAACUGAAAUAACAAAGCCAAAGAUAGCCCAUGAUCUUCCAAUAGUAAUAAAGAGCUUUCCUGUUUCUUGUCUUGAAGCUGCCCCCAUAAUAUAACUGAAAACCGUAUCUACAAUGACCUUCAAAUUAAAAAAGCAUUUUGUAAUAGGGAUAUACUGUGCAAGAACUCGAUCAAAUGUGAGCCAUGCAAGAGCAUCCUAACCACAAAGACACUAAACCAGCAUUCCUGCUAAUAACUGUGUCUGUCAAAUGUUUCAGUUAAUGCAGGAAACAUCCUGAUAAAAAAGAAAAGGAUGAACAACAAAAAUCGCAGCUUCUUGUUUAAAAGACUAGAAAAAUCAAGUAAAGAAGUCAAUUGUUGAUAAUUGAAAUAGAAGAUAAUGGCGUGUCAUCAUGAUUAACCAUCUGAAUUGUGGGAGCGGAAUGGUGGGGUUACACCAUCAGAAGAAGAAGAAGAAGAAGAAUCUCCACCAUCUUCUUCGCGGCUUCCUCUUUUUAAUUUCAGAGCUUCCCCUGCUAGGGAAAAGAUUAUUGAGACGAUGGUUUUGGUAAAGCUUUCAAAAAUCUGAGCGUUAAUUUGACCUCUUUUUGGUGGAAGACUUGCUUUUUUUCCCUCAUGAAAUGUGAGAGAAGCCUUGUCCAUCGGCAUCGCCUCAAACAAGAUAAUCUGAAAACAUAACAAAAACAGAGCACAGAUAGAACAUAGCAUCAAAAACAGAAUUACUGAAAGACAGAGGCAAUAGAGAAAGAUUU